rnacentral:rRNA from 1 species
CGAACGAAGCACAGAUGUAGAAUUUCUUCGGAAAGGAAGCGCCUGUGACUGAGUGGCGGACGGGUGAGUAACGCGUGGGCAACCUGCCCCAUACCGGGGGACAACAGCUGGAAACGGCUGCUAAUACCGCAUACGUUUUCGGUGCCGCAUGGCGCCGAAAAGAAAACUCCGGUGGUAUGGGAUGGGCCCGCGUCUGAUUAGCUAGUUGGGAGGGUAACGGCCUACCAAGGCGACGAUCAGUAGCCGGCCUGAGAGGGCGACCGGCCACAUUGGGACUGAGACACGGCCCAGACUCCUGCGGGAGGCAGCAGUGGGGAAUAUUGCACAAUGGGGGGAACCCUGAUGCAGCGACGCCGCGUGAGCGAAGAAGUACCUCGGUAUGUAAAGCUCUAUCAGCAGGGAAGAAAGUGACAGUACCUGACUAAGAAGCCCCGGCUAACUACGUGCCAGCAGCCGCGGUAAUACGUAGGGGGCAAGCGUUAUCCGGAUUCACUGGGCGUAAAGGGAGCGCAGGCGGCGCGGCAAGUCUGAUGUGAAAGCCCGGGGCUCAACCCCGGGUCUGCAUUGGAAACUGUCGAGCUGGAGUGUCGGAGGGGUAAGCGGAAUUCCUAGUGUAGCGGUGAAAUGCG